rnacentral:lncRNA from 1 species
UAAAAUCUUGAAUGAGAGCAGCCCUUAUUCAGAAUUUACAGAGUUAUAAUUUUAUAUAUUAUAAUUCCUGCAAAUGACAAAAUAUUUCUUCUAUUUCUUUAUUUUGGUAAAUGGUUAGAUUAGAACAUUAUCUUUAUGAUGAUAAUUUAUGUUUUAUUUGAUUAAUGUUUCAAAACCUCACAAAAAAAUACAUAAUCAGGUCUACCCAUGCUAAAAUGGCUGUUGGAAAGUAACUCUCAUUCAUUCGCUUAAGCUUGCAAAAAAACACAAAAAUUGAGCCAAUAACAACACCAGGAACCAUUACAACUCUAGCAACUCAGCUCUCCAAUGGCUUAGCAAGCUUUCCUGCUUCCAUCAUCUGAUUGCAUAUGAGGUCUUAUUAAAUAGGCCCAUGCUUGUUGUAAAGCUCAAUGGUUAGCUUAAUUCCAGAACUUCAAGACAAUAGCAGCUCUCAGAAACAAACAUUUCACAACACCUGCAACAAAUAAAGAAUUGAAAUGAACAAAUAUUGGGUGAGGAUGGCUUGAUGAUUCACCCAAAACAAAAAUUCUCCGAAUGGAAUCAAGAAUUUCUCAAUAAUUCAAUUCAAUUGAUAUCCUCUUUAACAAUUCUCUUAUUUGGAAUGAGAAAAUUCAAUUCUUUUUAACUUAAAAAUAUUUUAUUUUAAAAAAAAGUAGAAAUCUUGUAUGAUUUUGCCAGAAUUCAUUUGAAUUCUUUUCUGAAAUGAAUCAAAAGGCAAGUUUUAUGGUUGAAUCAAAUGCUAGACUCCUGAAAAACCAAAGGUUGAAACAGACGAGUCACUUUAGUUUGUGUGGAGAUACCCAAAAGAUGGCCAAAGUUUUUCGAAUGCACUAUGAAGGUAAAUGCUCUAAUAGAUUCAUGUAUCAGAAUUAUGUUGUCAGCAGAGGUGAUCUUCCACAAAAAGCAGUUUCUUUCUAGAAGCUUUAGGUAAAGAAAUGAUGGCCUAUGGAAUAAAUUGGAAGCUGAGUCGUAGAGAGUCACCAAUGAUGUUUCAGGCAAAAGGACUGCAAAGUGUCAAGGGAACAAGGGGAGGUAGCGAAGCCCGGUAUUUUCUGGAAAUCCCAUCAUUAUGUUCAGAUUUUGUAGAGCUUGACCAGAAGCUCCCUUCACAAGAUUAUCGAU